UGAAGGAGGAAGGUUUCACGUCUCCUCUCCCUCCUCCUCCUCCUCUUCCUCCUCCUCUUCCUCCUCUUCUUCCUCCCCCUGCAGGUGUUAAUGAAGGCGAGACUCACCUGAGGGAGCCAUUCACACCUGGAUCAUGGAGUUUACACCCAUAGCGGUGCGGUAUGCUGAGCUGUGGUGCGAGUGUGCAGGAAACAGCAGCUCCGUGCCGCACCGCCUCCUCAUGCACGAGCAGAUGCAGCGGUUGCACGCCCAAGCCCGGCAGCACGCCCUGUGGUACGUGGUGGUGGUGCUGGUGGUGUACGUGGCGGGGCUCGUGGUCAUCAUCAGGCGGUCAGGUCGAGUGGAGAGGAACAACGCAAUGGCUGUGGUCUCCUCCUGCUGCGUGAAGCUGGGCGCGUGUGUCACCCAGUGCUGCGGCAGACUGUUCGGGAGACCUGGCCAGGGGAAAGACAAGGGAACUCUGCAGGAAACGUGUGCUGAUUCUGUGACUUCCAUUACUGCUACUGCUGUUACUACUAGUGCUACUACUUCAUCAACAACAACAACUGCUACUACUACUGAUGCUGUUACUACUGCUAAUGUUACCAUGUCAGCUGUUACUACUACUACUACUACUGCUACCACAACUACGUCUUCAGCUUGUUCUCCUACUAACACUACUGCUACCACUAUUACCGCUGUCUCUGCUGGUUCUAUUAUUCCGCCUGCUGCCUCUACUUCUAUGGUUUCUAAUUCUU